rnacentral:rRNA from 1 species
CACGUAGGGGCCAAGCGUUGUCCGGAUUUAUUGGGCGUAAAGAGCUCGUAGGCGGUUGGGUAAGUCGGGUGUGAAAACUCCAGGCUCAACCUGGAGACGCCACCUGAUACUGCUGUGGCUAGAGUCCGGUAGGGGAGCAUGGAAUUCCUGGUGUAGCGGUGAAAUGCGCAGAUAUCAGGAGGAACACCAGUGGCGAAAGCGACGUGCUGGACACCUUCUGACGCUGAGGCACGAAAGCCAGGGGAGCAAACGGG